UGACUAAGCCAUGCAAGUCGAGAGGGUUCGGCCCUCGGCGUACUGCUCAGUAACACGUGGAUAACCUGCCCUAAGGAAGGGGAUACCCUCGGGAAACUGAGGAUAAUACCCUAUAGGUUACCGAUGCUGGAAUGCUCGGUAACUCAAAGUUCCGGCGCCUUAGGAUGGAUCUGCGGCCGAUUAGGUAGUUGUUGGGGUAACGGCCCAACAAGCCCGUAAUCGGUACGGGUUGUGGGAGCAAGAGCCCGGAGUUGGAUUCUGAGACACGAAUCCAGGCCCUACGGGGCGCAGCAGGCGCGAAAACUUUACAAUGCGGGCAACCGUGAUAAGGGAACCUCGAGUGCCUGUACAUGCAGGCUGUCUGGGUGUCUAAAACACACCCAAAGAAAGGACCGGGCAAGACCGGUGCCAGCCGCCGCGGUAAUACCGGCGGCUCGAGUGGUGGCCACUUUUAUUGGGCUUAAAGCGUUCGUAGCUGGGUUGUUAAGUCUCUUGGGAAAUCCGGCGGCUUAACCGUCGGGCGUCUAAGAGAUACUGGCAAUCUUGGAACCGGGAGAGGUGAGGGGUACUUCGGGGGUAGGAGUGAAAUCCUGUAAUCCUCGAGGGACCACCUGUGGCGAAGGCGCCUCACCAGAACGGCUUCGACAGUGAGGGACGAAAGCUGGGGGAGCAAACCGGAUUAGAUACCCGGGUAGUCCCAGCCGUAAACGAUGUGCGUUAGGUGUAUCGACGACCACGAGUCGUCGAGGUGCCGAAGGGAAACCGUGAAACGUACCGCCUGGGAAGUACGGUCGCAAGGCUGAAACUUAAAGGAAUUGGCGGGGGAGCA
rnacentral:rRNA from 1 species